rnacentral:rRNA from 1 species
CCAAUAGCGUAUAUUAAAGUUGUUGCAGUUAAAAAGCUCGUAGUUGAAUUUCGGGAUCAAAGAAUCGGUCAUGCCUUGGUAUGCACUGGUUUUAUUGGUUCUCACCUUCUAAAGAACCAUAAUGUCAUUCAUUUGAUGUUAUGGGGAAUUAGGACUGUUACCUUGAAAAAAUUAGAGUGUUUAAAGCAGGCUUACGCUUGAAUACAUUAGCAUGGAAUAAUGAAAUAGGACAUCAGAUUCUAUUUUGUUGGUUUCUAGGAUCGAUGUAAUGAUUAAUAGGGAUAGUUGGGGGCAUUAGUAUUCAAUUGUCAGAGGUGAAAUUCUUGGAUUUAUUGAAGACUAACUACUGCGAAAGCAUUUGCCAAGGAUGUUUUCAUUAAUCAAGAACGAAAGUUAGGGGAUCGAAGACGAUCAGAUACCGUCGUAGUCUUAACCAUAAACUAUGCCGACUAGGGAUCGGAUGAUGUUAAUUUUAUAAUGACUCAUUCGGCACCUUACG